ACAUAUACUACAUUGUAUAUGUAUAUAUACAAAAUAAAACAAUACUAAGAUGAUUAGCAUGGUCCCUACACAUGGAUGACAUGCAAAUUUGUGAAGCAUUCCACAUUAUG